UGUUUUAUGCGACAGCUAGGUGGCACUAGAGUUGCAGUUGUAUGAUUCUAACCUUAGGUUUGAGUUUAGUUUAUGAGAAGUUUUAGUAUUGUUUUAGUAUUAGAAACAUUUUAUUUACAUCGGUAGGUGUUUUGUUAUUUUCUUCCCACCUUUUCUUCCCAGCAUGCCCCUUUUCACAUUCCUCCAUUCCCCAGAAACACAGGCAUCAGCUUGUUCAGUCUUUACUGCUGACUUCCUGACUGUGUUCAGGUUGUGAUGAAGCAGCAGCUGCUGCAGCCAUCGUCGUGCUGAAGGACACGGCGUUCUGUGGUCUCUGGGACAUCGUGAGCCAUAACAGCUAACAGCUCGUACGCUCGUUAGCAAUAAGCCGGAGUUUAGUUAAUUCUCUAUGAAAAUCUUUUAAAGCUGA